rnacentral:lncRNA from 1 species
GCUUAACAAAACAAAUAAUUUAUUUAUAGCAACUGCACAUAUAAAACAGAAGAUGUGGUAUGAUUGCUAAUGAGACAACUAUCCACAAAAGACCAAAAUGACACACAUUAACAACUAUAGGUCACCGUACGGCCUUCUACAAUGAGCAAAGCCCAUAUCGCAUAGUCAGCUAUAAAAGGCCCCGAUAAGACAAUGUAAAACAAUUCAAACGAGAAAACUAACGACCUUAUUUAUGUUAAAAAAUGAACGAAAAACAAAUAUGAAACACAUAAACAAACGACAACCACCGAAUUACAGGCUCCUGACUUGGGACAGGCACAUACAUAAAUAAUGUUGCUCGUAUAUGCACAGUUUUUUUUUUAAAGCAAACAUUGGUUGCUUUGUCCGUCCGUCUUUUAUCGUACAUGUACAUUUGUCCAAAGAAAAAAUUAAAAUUAGAACGAAACUUGCC